rnacentral:miRNA from 1 species
CCUCACCUGUCUCCCACCACAG